UUCAGUUACUUAUAGCUGAGAAACUAUGAUGGGCUGUAAUUUUCCAUACCAGCUGUCUGCCUCAGGCUGACUCUGACAAACAGCAUUUCAAGAAAACUGGGAGCUUGCAGAAGAUGGAAGCAGGGACAUGUGAUAGAAGAAGGACUUAAAGGCAUUGCUUGCAUGCUUAAGGACAAAAUUUGGAAGACAAAAGCCCAGCUGGAGCAAAGACCUGAGGCAGACUUUAAGGGCAGCGAGAACGAAUCCUGCAGUUUGUUAAACAGGAUGAAGAAUCACAAUGAAGUCCAUGUAUCCUUGUGGGACUGGGAAGACAAGCAUCAUCACAACUUAGUCUCCCCACUGUGGAGCCUCUGCUGCAGGAGAUUUCUUCCCUGAAACUUUUCAGCUCAUUCCCUCAGACUGACAAAUCACCAAAUGUAAUUUGCCUGCUGCUAGAAGAUCAGCAGAGAUGUCCCAGCAAAACUGAACUCACAGAAUCAUUCAGAGCAGGAUGUGGCGUUAAUGAGAGUUUAAUUACCCAAGCAUUUGUUGAAAACAAAAGAUGACAGGUCACAGACGGUUCAUCCAGGUUUUAAUGUGCUGGUGGAGAGUUUUGAUACAGAGCUAGUGAAAGCGACUUGGAAGUUAUGUUUGAACAGAAGGAAAGUUAAAUGGAUAAUGGCUGCUGUCUGGUCUCUGGUGUAUAUCAAUUAUUCUCAAGGAAAUAUCUUUCCUUUGCUGAGUGGCAUAUAUCUACCUGCUCUCCCUGCCCUUCUUCUAAGGAUCUGACAGAGCAACCAGUCAACAUUUUCAUCUUC